rnacentral:lncRNA from 1 species
GCUUCUCGCUGGAGUGCGCACCGAGCGGCAGUGACUUCGCCGCUGCUGUAGUUCCCCGGCUGGAUGCGGUGACUGGUGCCAGUGCUCAGGCGCCCGCUGCCCUUGACCUCCCGCCCCGCGAGCCCUAACUCAGCGCAGGAGGACCGGCUGCCGCCGCCGCCGCCGCCAGAGCCUUGGCUGCCCAGUUGCCAGUCCUACCACGGUCGGAGGUAACCUUCCUGGCUCCAGUCACAUGGCCAGAUAAGGUGGUGUGUGUGGGCAUGAAUUAUGUGGACCACUGCAAAGAACAGAACGUGCCCGUGCCCAAGGAGCCCAUCAUCUUCAGCAAGUUUGCCAGCUCCAUCGUGGGGCCCUAUGAUGAGGUGGUCCUCCCACCACAGAGCCAGAUCCACACAACUUAAAGAUCUGCUGUCGAGUGAAUGGGGAAGUGGUCCAGAGCAGCAACACCAACCAGAUGGUAUUCAAGACAGAGGACCUGAUAGCCUGGGUGUCCCAGUUUGUUACCUUUUACCCAGGGGAUGUCAUCCUGACUGGGACCCCCCCACCUCCACCCAGGUGUCGGUGUAUUCAGGAAACCUCCUGUCUUUCUCAAGGUCUCUGAAGGUCCAGACAGCACUGAUGGCGAGCUUUGGGUCCGCACACUCUGGAAAGAAGAGAGAAGUGAAGGCUCUAGGAGCCUGGGCUGACUGGUUGGGACUCACCGAAGAUCCCUUCUUCCUGGGCGGUGGCCUGCAGGAACUGGAACAGCUGCUCUGUGUAGCCCAACUCUGCAGAAGAGAGAAGACCUAGACCUGGCACCCAGCACAGACACAGCCUGCCUCGAGGACUGCAAGGGAACAAGGGCCUCACCAGUAUCGGGCAGCUGGCCCUGGCGGAGGAAGGCGGCAGCCUGUGCAAAGGCCUUGAGCAGCGGGCUGAGCAGGCGGCAGAGGAAAAGAAAGAAAUCUGGGCAGUGUGACUGCUGGCUGAGCUGGAGGGGACAGGCCGGGGUGAGUGCAGCUCCCCACCGCCUCCCUACCACCUCCCUCCAGGGGCAGCUUUUUGAAACACACCCUGAAGUACCGGCCGUCAGCCUCUCCGAAGUCAUCACUGUCACUAUCAGUAAAGUCCCCACUCGGUUUCCACA